rnacentral:rRNA from 1 species
UUUUUUUUUUUUGCGUUUUUUUUCUUCCUAUGGAAUAUUCCCUGGAAACUGGGUUUAAUACCAUAUACGCCCUUCGGGGGAAAGAAUUUCGGUGAGGGAUCGGCCCGCGNUAUAUUACUUAGUUGGUGNNGUAAUGCCCUACCACGACUACGAUCCANAGCUGGUUUGAGAGGAUGAUCAUCAACACUNNNACUGAGACACGGCCCAGACGUCCCACGGGAGGCAGCAGUGGGGAAUCUUAUACAAUGGGGGCAACCCUGAUCUAGCGAUGCCGCGUGAGUGAUGAAGGCCUUAGGGUCGUAAAGCUCUUUCGCCUGUGAUGAUAAUGACCGUACCAGGUAAAGAAACCCCGGCUAACUCCGUGCCAGCAGCCGCGGUAAUACGGAGGGGGUUAGCGUUGUUCGGAAUUACUGGGCGUAAAGCGCACGUAGGCGGAUUAGUCAGUCAAAGGUGAAAUCCCAGGGCUCAACCCUGGAACUGCCUUUGACACUGCUAUUCUUGAGUUCUAUAGAGGAAUUGGAAUUCCGAGUGUAAAGGUGAAAU